UCACCUGAUUGGUCUGCUACUCAAGCCGCUUGUUUUCCGGUUUAAAGAUGGCGUUUCCCUCCGUCAGCUUACAGACACAAACAGAAGUCGCUAACUAAAAUAAAUCUGAGGUUGUUUCACAUCAUCGUUGUUUUCCUCGUCGCACCGUUUCGCUGGGUGGCUACACUCUUCGUGGGACCAACAAAACUAAAUAAAAAUACGUCCGCUCCUGUGCUCCAUCCGCUCCAACGAAUCGAACCGGAAGUCCGGAAAGCUGGUGACGUCAUCGAUUCAAAACUUGCUGAGACUGCCUGUGGUGCUGCUGUGCUGUGUGCAUCCUAAUCUCUCCACAGCUCUGUGUCUAAUGGCCGCGCCGCCUCUCCGCUCUCCCUCUGCCUCCACUUCAGCUGCAGCCAAGCAGGCAAAACGAGGAGGAUGGAGAGUCAUAACCCACAUCUGCCAGAGCUGAGUCGCAUGUUUAGGAUGAGAAACGGGUUCAGCGUUUCGUUGCAGCACCUGAGGCCACGUUUCCCUUCUUGAACCUUUCACAUUGUCCUGCUGUCAAAGCCGUCCCAGGUGUCCUCAUCACGUCCUCGCAGGUGUCCCGCCUGCCGACCUUUGGCCUUUCAACCCUCCCACCUGGGCGACGCCUCGGCCGACCCGCUCUGAACUCUGACCCCGCGGACUGUGGAUCAUCCUGGGGGUCCCCUCUUAAAAGCAUUUCUGUAGCGCUGAAAGUCUGGGCUCAUAAAUCAGAGCAGGAUGAUGAUGAUGAUGAUGAUGAUGAUGAUGAUGCACCGACGCUCAGGUCUCUAAAAACGACUCAGACAUCAAAGAAACUCACUUUACAAGUGACCAGAACUGUUUGACAAGGAAGGCAAAACAUUUUUAUAACAUCUAUUUUCAUUUUAAUAAGAAUCGUUUAUUUUUUUACACACAAAAAUGUUUGCUUUUGUUACAUUAAAGGUACCUUUUUUAUCUUUAAGCAUGUGUUAGACAUACUUUCCAUUAAUCCCACAUUUUUGUUUUUAAAAAUAGAUUUCUUUCUUAUUAGUCUGAUCUUAAAUGUGCUUUCAUUCACUGUUAGCAGAAAGUCGUCAUAAUUAAAAGGAA